GUGAGUCAUCGAAUCUUUGAACGCACAUUGCGCCCCUUGGUAUUCCAUGGGGCAUGCCUGUUCGAGCGUCAUUUGUACUCAAGCACUGCUUGGUGUUGGGCGUGUCCGCUGUCGGACUCGCUUUAAAUCCAUUGGCAGCCGGUAUCUGGUCUGGAACGCAGCACAAUUGCGCCCUGGCUUGAGCUGGCGACCAUAAGCCGACCAUUUUGCGUUUGACCUCGGAUCAGGUAGGGAUACCCGCUGAACUUAAGCAUAUCAAUAAGCGGAGGA
rnacentral:misc_RNA from 1 species